UGGGGAAUUUUGGACAAUGGACGCAAGUCUGAUCCAGCCAUGCCGCGUGCGGGAAGAAGGCCUUCGGGUUGUAAACCGCUUUUGUCAGGGAAGAAACGAGUUUCUCUAAUACAGAGACUUAAUGACGGUACCUGAAGAAUAAGCACCGGCUAACUACGUGCCAGCAGCCGCGGUAAUACGUAGGGUGCAAGCGUUAAUCGGAAUUACUGGGCGUAAAGCGUGCGCAGGCGGUUAUGUAAGACAGAUGUGAAAUCCCCGGGCUCAACCUGGGACCUGCAUUUGUGACUGCAUAGCUAGAGUACGGCAGAGGGGGAUGGAAUUCCGCGUGUAGCAGCGAAAUGCGUAGAUAUGCGGAGGAACACCGAUGGCGAAGGCAAUCCCCUGGGCCUGUACUGACGCUCAUGCACGAAAGCGUGGGGAGCAACCA
rnacentral:rRNA from 1 species